UUUAAUAUGGCAGAAUAGUGCAAUGGACUUAAACCCCAUAUAUAAAAUCAAAAUUUUUAUUAAAA
rnacentral:tRNA from 1 species